rnacentral:misc_RNA from 1 species
AAGUCGUAACAAGGUCUCCGUAGGUGAACCUGCGGAGGGAUCAUUAACACGUUCCAAAACGUUUCAACCAAAUUCGUCAUGUGAACUUAUAACCUCCCUGAAGUUAGAAAACUACUGCUGUUGUUGAUGCGAAUCUCGUGGUGGGUAUGGCCUCGGCUGUACGAUUUGCUCAGUAACUGUGAGGCGCCUCGGUGACCUCAAGGCAUUUCUUAUCUUUGGGAUUUUUCACCGCCACGGUUUUCUUAACCCCUUUCACUUCGAUUCUGGGUAGGCUUAGGCCGAUACAGAGUCUAACAAAUUGACUGAUUAUUUUUACUGUUGAAAAAUGGUAAAGUUUUAAAAGAACCAAAGCACAACUCUUAGCAACGGAUAUCUUGGUUCUC